rnacentral:ncRNA from 1 species
GAAAACGCAAUGAUUGGGAGUAUUAAGGAAUAACUAUUGCCCAGCGAACUGUCGGGUCGGUGCGAGACAGUGUAUAGGUUCCCCAACUCACCCAUAAGCGGUAAGACUGAAAUCAGUAGGUCUUAACGGUUAACCUCCGUAAUCGGGUCCUAAGGAUUUGUGAUUUAUUUUGUUGCGAAUCAAGAAGAGUGGUACCGCGAAGGUAAAAUCUAUCGCCUCUUUG